rnacentral:lncRNA from 1 species
CAUCACCACGUCAACGCCUACUGACCUCUCGAAAGACGUUCAUUUUAUUUUUGUACCUGCACUAUGACCAAUUUACAGGAACGACCCCUGCUGCCUCUAAGAGAUGUGGCCAGCAUUGUUCCUGUCUCCUUCGCCUCCCAGAAUGACUAGUGCUUGAGACUACAAUCCUGAAUGGUUUGCUUAAGUUCACUCCCUCUUCUGAGAACAGGAAGUCAAAAGACUCACAGUGUUGGAGAAAGCUCCCCUAAGCAGCCAAGAAGGUACCAAAGAGAACCCACUGCCCUCCUCUGCUGGGCGAGGCUU